rnacentral:rRNA from 1 species
GACGAACGCUGGCGGCGUGCUUAACACAUGCAAGUCGAGCGGUAAGGCUCCUUCGGGGGUACACGAUCGGGGGCCGGGAGCGUAACAGUAGCGUAAGCUGCCCUUCACUUCGAGAUAGCCACCGGAAACGGAGGCUAAUACCAAAUCCGACCAACAUCCGUAUAAGGAGGUGGUGGGAUGUAAUUUCGGUAUAGGAUGUGCCCGCGGCGUAUCAGCUUGUUGGUGGGGUAAUGGUCUACCAAGGCUUCGACGGGUAGCCGGCCUGUGAGGGUGACGGGCCAGACUGGGACUGAGACACGGCCCAGACUCCUACGGGAGGCAGCAGUGGGGAAGAUUGGACAAUGGGCGAAAGCCUGAGCCAGCAACGCGGCGUGAGGGAGGACGGCCUUCGGGUUGUAAACCGCUUUCAGUACCGACGAAGCGCCCUGUCGGGUAGUGACGGUAGGUACAGAAGAAGGACCGGCCAACUACGUG